CCUACGGGAGGCAGCAGUGGGGGAUAUUGCACAAUGGGCGCAAGCCUGAUGCAGCGACGCCGCGUGUGGGAAGACGGUCCUCGGAUUGUAAACCACUGGCUUUGGGGACGAUAAUGACGGUACCCAAGGAGGAAGCUCCGGCUAACUACGUGCCAGCAGCCGCGGUAAUACGUAGGGAGCGAGCGUUGUCCGGAUUUACUGGGUGUAAAGGGAGCGUAGGCGGGAUAUCAAGUUGAAUGUGAAAUCUACCGGCUCAACUGGUAGGCUGCGUUCAAAACUGAUAUUCUUGAGUGAAGUAGAGGUUGGCGGAAUUCCUAGUGUAGCGGUGAAAUGCGUAGAUAUUAGGAGGAACACCAGUGGCGAAGGCGGUCAACUGGGCUUUUACUGACGCUGAGGCUCGAAAGCGUGGGGAGCAAACAGGAUUAGAUACCCCGGUAGUC
rnacentral:rRNA from 1 species